rnacentral:rRNA from 1 species
AGAACUUAGCAGAGAUGCUUUGGUGCCUUCGGGAACUCUGAGACAGGUGCUGCAUGGCUGUCGUCAGCUCGUGUUGCGAAAUGUUGGGUUAAGUCCCGCAACGAGCGCAACCCUUAUCCUUUGUUGCCAGCGGUCCGGCCGGGAACUCAAAGGAGACUGCCAGUGAUAAACUGGAGGAAGGUGGGGAUGACGUCAAGUCAUCAUGGCCCUUACGAGUAGGGCUACACACGUGCUACAAUGGCGCAUACAAAGAGAAGCGACCUCGCGAGAGCAAGCGGACCUCAUAAAGUGCGUCGUAGUCCGGAUUGGAGUCUGCAACUCGACUCCAUGAAGUCGGAAUCGCUAGUAAUCGUGGAUCAGAAUGCCACGGUGAAUACGUUCCCGGGCCUUGUACACACCGCCCGUCACACCAUGGGAGUGGGUUGCAAAAGAAGUAGGUAGCUUAACCUUCGGGAGGGCGCUUACCACUUUGUGAUUCAUGACUGGGGUGAAGUCGUAACAAGGUAGGCGUAGUGCU